GUUUCGGUACUGCUCCAACAGAAAGCCAAUGGACAUUUUUAUCCGAUCUUCUAUUUUUCGAAAAACUACGAAAAUCGAAUCGCGCUAGCUACGAGAAACAUUCGCCAUAGUAUACGCCCUAAAAAGAUUUCGUAUGUAUCUUCUAUCCCUUUCAAGAUAAUUACUGAAAUGCGCUUGUCAUGACGUUGAGUAUUGAGUAAAAAAGAGAUAAAUCCACGAAUCGCGCGGUGGGCGCUUGAAUUGCAAAAUUUUGACGGAGCAUAGGCCGGGCAACAUGUGGACGUGUUGAGUCGAGCGGAAUUUUAGUGAUAGAAGCGAAUACUUUCGAGUAUGAACUGUCCGUUUGUCAACUGCAAGAUCCGAUCAUUAAAGAAUUGAGAAUACGUUUAGAAAAGGAACAAGAUAGCCUGAAAUGCGUCUCGUCUAUCGUAAAAGGAGUGACAAAGUUCUGUUUCUUGUCUCGCGCGCGAUGGAACAGGACUUAUUUUACAAAUAUCAUAGUGACUUUGGUCAUUUCGGAAUAGAUAAAACAUUAGCAUUAUUACAGGAAGUACUACUGGUUCCCAAAGAUGAAGGCCAAGGUCAACGAGUUCAUAAGAAAUUGUACGACAUGUAUUGCUUUGUUGGACAAAAACGAAGGUUUCAUGCAUACUAUAUUAAAGGGAAACGUCCUUUCGAUAAAUCCUUUUCGACGAUAUAUGUUGAUCAUUUUGGUCCUGUAGAUCGAACGAACGCCACGAAAAAGUAUAUAUUUCUAGUUAUAGAUGCCUUUACUAAAUUCGUAAAAUUGUAUGCGAUAAAAAUUAUAACUUCCCGCGAAUAAUACGAUGUUUGAAGGAUUAUUUUAGUGCGUACAGUAAACCGUGAUCCUUAAUAUUCGAUCGAGGAAUUAAUUUUACGUCAAAGGAAUUUGAAGAGUUUAUGAAGGAAGUUAAAAUAGAAUAUGUAAAGAUUGCAACAAUACAUCGCCUCAAGCGGGCAGAUCAAAAGAUAUAAUAGAAUUCUAGCAUCGGCACUAGGUAAAUUGUACGAACGGAAAGAAGUGGCACGAAUCCUUAGAGGAAAUAGAGUUCGCUAUAAAUAAUAUGAUAAACUGGAGUACGAGCGAAAUCCCCAGUCGAUUAUUGUUCGGAGUGUCGCAGCGAGGACAUGUGUUCGACGCGGUUAGAAAGUACGUCGAAAAUGAAAACAAGGAAGGCGAAAGAGAUUUAGAACGAAUACGAGUGAGAGCAGCGGAGAGAAUUGAAAAGGCGAACUUGUAUAAUAAAAUUUACAUAAACAAAAGGUAUAAAGAGGCGCGAGAAUACUCGGAGGGCGAUCUCAUUAUAAAAAAUUUCGAAGCUAGGAAAAUUGAUUCCAGCAUAUAGAGGAUCCUACCGUGUUAUUCUGCGUUGAAACCACU